ACCAGGCCUUACAGGGGCGCUACAGGGAGGGCGGAAGGCUAGAGGAGAAAGGAGAUGCUUCCUGAGAGCCUACCUGCUGUUCGAACUCUGAGCAUCACUCUAGAACGGCGAGUAGCAGCGCCUUCCAUAGCAGCAGGUGAAUCCAGCUUGCAGUUUCAACGAAUGGAGACCCAGCUUCAUCAUGUUCCACCUCAAAACGUCAGCGUCGACUGGCUGGGCUGCCUUUUCAGAGAUCUGAGCUUCAAGAAGGCCCGAAGAAAUGGUGAUAUGAUGGCUGGAGUUCCAGAAACCACCCUGUGGCCUUGAAAAUGGAAAACAUGGGCUGAGUACGGCAGAACAGAAAGAAAGAGCAUA